CCCUUAGAUGUUCUGGGCCGCACGCGCGCUACACUGACGAUGGCAACGAGUUUUUCCUUCGCCGAAAGGUGUGGGUAAUCUUUUGAAACAUCGUCGUGCUGGGGAUAGAUCAUUGCAAUUUUUGAUCUUGAACGAGGAAUUCCUAGUAAGCGCGAGUCAUCAGCUCGCGUUGAUUACGUCCCUGCCCUUUGUACACACCGCCCGUCGCUACUACCGAUUGAAUGGGUUAGUGAGGACUCCUGAUUGGCGCCGCCGCCCCGGCAACGGAGCAGCGGACUGCCGAAAAGUUGUUCAAACUUGAUCAUUUAGAGGAAGUAAAAGUCGUAACA
rnacentral:rRNA from 1 species